AUUGAACGCUGGCGGCAGGCCUAACACAUGCAAGUCGAGCGGAUGAAGGGAGCUUGCUCCUGGAUUCAGCGGCGGACGGGUGAGUAAUGCCUAGGAAUCUGCCUGGUAGUGGGGGAUAACGUCCGGAAACGGGCGCUAAUACCGCAUACGUCCUGAGGGAGAAAGUGGGGGAUCUUCGGACCUCACGCUAUCAGAUGAGCCUAGGUCGGAUUAGCUAGUUGGUGGGGUAAAGGCCUACCAAGGCGACGAUCCGUAACUGGUCGGAGAGGAUGAUCAGUCACACUGGAACUGAGACACGGUCCAGACUCCUACGGGAGGCAGCAGUAGGGAAUAUUGGACAAUGGGCGAAAGCCUGAUCCAGCCAUGCCGCGUGUGUGAAGAAGGUCUUCGGAUUGUAAAGCACUUUAAGUUGGGAGGAAGGGCAGUGAGUUAAUACCUUGCUGUUUUGACGUUACCAACAGAAUAAGCACCGGCUAACUUCGUG
rnacentral:rRNA from 1 species